rnacentral:rRNA from 1 species
UACGUAGGGUGCGAGCGUUAAUCGGAAUUACUGGGCGUAAAGCGUGCGCAGGCGGUAAGUUAAGUCUGAUGUGAAAGCCCCGGGCUCAACCUGGGAAUGGCAUUGGAAACUGGCUUGCUGGAGUGUGGCAGAGGGGGGUGGAAUUCCGCGUGUAGCAGUGAAAUGCGUAGAGAUGUGGAGGAACACCGAUGGCGAAGGCAGCCCCCUGGGUCAAUACUGACGCUCAUGCACGAAAGCGUGGGGAGCAAACAGG